rnacentral:lncRNA from 1 species
AUUUCCAGUAAAAUACUAUUCAUAUCAGUACACUAAGGGAUUAGACAUUUAACUUUAAAAAAAAGGGGGGUAUAUGGCUAUCUCCUUAAAAAGAUAUUUUGAUCCCAAAUUUUAUGAGAAAAAAAUUAUUAUGGUCAAGCAGAUGACAAAUUAAUGUUUUGCAUGAUUCCUAAUUUUCCGAAUACCGUAAAUAGUGCUAAUUUAAACAAAAACAUUUGGGUGAUGGCGUUGAAAAGUAAAUAGUUAAUAUUCUCAAAAUAGAACAUACCGCCCC